rnacentral:rRNA from 1 species
AUUGAACGCUGGCGGCAGGCCUAACACAUGCAAGUCGAACGGUAGCACAGGAGAGCUUGCUCUCUGGGUGACGAGUGGCGGACGGGUGAGUAAUGCAUGGGGAGCUGCCCAAUCGAGGGGGAUACCAGCUGGAAACGGCUGCUAAUACCGCAUACGCCCUGAGGGGAAAGUGGGGACUUUCGGGCCUACCGCGAUUGGAUGCACCCAUGUGGGAUUAGCUAGUUGGUGAGGUAACGGCUCACCAAGGCGACGAUCUCUAGCUGGUCUGAGAGGAUGACCAGCCACACUGGAACUGAGACACGGUCCAGACUCCUACGGAGGCAGCAGUGGGGAAUAUUGCACAAUGGGGAAACCCUGACUGCAGCCAUGCCGCGUGUGUGAAGAAGGCCUUCGGGUUGUAAAGCACUUUCAGUAGGGAGGAAGGGUUGAGUGUCUAAUACGCAUCAACAUUGACGUUACUACCAGUAAGAAGCAACCGCGUAACC